UACAGAGGAGCCAAGCGUUGUCCGGAUUGACUGGGCGUAAAGCGCACGCAGGCGGUUGCGCGCGUGGGGUGUGAAAUCUGGCCGCUUAACGGCCAGGCGCCAUCCCAUACGGCGCGACUGGAGUGAUGCAGAGGUCGAUGGAAUUGCCGGUGUAGUGGUGAAAUGCGUAGAGAUCGGCAGGAACACCCAGGGGGAAACCAGUCGACUGGGCAUCUACUGACGCUGAGGUGCGAGAGCGUGGGGAGCGGACCGG
rnacentral:rRNA from 1 species